UACGUAGGGUGCAAGCGUUAUCCGGAAUUAUUGGGCGUAAAGAGCUCGUAGGCGGUUUGUCGCGUCUGCUGUGAAAACUGGAGGCUCAACCUCCAGCCUGCAGUGGGUACGGGGCAGACUAGAGUGCGGUAGGGGAGAUUGGAAUUCCGGGUGUAGCGGUGAAAUGCGUAGAUAUCCGGAGGAACACCGGUGGCGAAGGCGGCUUCCUGGACCGAUACUGACGCUGAUGUGCGAAAGCUAGGGGAGCAAACGGG
rnacentral:rRNA from 1 species